CAAGAGAAGCACUUGCGUAAACCACAAACUGCAAGCUUCUCUGAUAGCCGAUGUCCUCAAUUCUUCAAGCAGUGGAACCAGUCCAGCAUAUGAAGCCAUCACAACAUGCAACUCAUGCAAACCUGCAACCAUUAAUAGGGAAUCUGAAAGCGAGCACAAGAAGUCGAAGUUAGUGACAAGCUCAUCGCAUGAAUCGGAGCCACCAAUACAAGUGCAUACGAAGCACAGAGGACCUCUUUUAUCAUGGUUAUUUCCAAGAUCAAAAAAGAAGCUCAAGCCAGAGAUGUCGCCGAAUCCAAUAGAAUCUGAAGACAUGGCCCAACUUCUGAAGGAGUGGGGAUUACUUUCACUUGAAUCACUGAAGAAGCAGCUUCUUGAAGCGAACAACAACAGAGAUGCAGCUCUUGCAGAAGUUUCCGAAAUGAGAUCUUCACUGGGAGAGCUACAACAAAAGCUAGUCACAUUAGAAAUACAUUGUGAAGAGCUGAAGAAGGCUCUAAAGCAGACAAAGCAUGUGAAGAACGAUCAGAUUCUGGACAGGCCUAAUUUGUCAAGGAGGACAAAAUCCAGUGGUGGCAUCAAAGACAAUCUGAUGCCCGUCAGCCACGAGGUGAUGGUGGAGGGUUUUCUGCAAAUGGUAUCAGAAGCUAGGCUAUCCAUCAAACAGUUCUGCAAGAUGCUGAUACAUCAAAUCGAAGAGACUGAUUGCAAUCUGAUGGAGAAGCUGAAUCUGCUUCUCCAAUCUCACCGGAUGGCAUUAAGUAAUAAAUACUCCAAAGCGUUGACAUACCAUAUUGUGGAAGCUCUCGUCAACCAGUCUAUGUAUCAGGACUUUGAGAACUGUGUGUUCCAGAAGAAUGGCUCGCCAAAGUUUCUAGAUCCACGGCAAGAUCGUCAGGAGAAUUUCUCAUCAUUCAUUUCACUUAGGAACUUGAGUUGGAAUGAGGUGUUGUGCAAGGGGACGAAGUCCUACAGUGAAGAGUUCAGCAGGUUUUGUGAUAGAAAAAUGAGCUGCAUUGUCUCCUUGCUAAAUUGGUCUAGAGCAUGGCCUGAACAGCUCCUCCGGUGCUUCUUUGUGGCCGCCAAAUGCAUUUGGUUGCUUCACCUGCUCGCUUUUUCC
rnacentral:lncRNA from 1 species